AAACCAAUCAAUUUAGAUUGGUCAAGGCCCCUUAACUGGAUAAGGACUCAGUUCCCUUCCUUUUGAGUGCCUCCAAGCUGCCCUGGGCCUGUGUGAGCCAAGGUGCAGCGGCAGACUGAGGGCACACCUUGUUUUCCUGAGCACAUCUCAGUGGAGAAGCAUUGUUGGCUUACAUAAGCACACGGAUCUCUUGCCUCCUGCUAGAGUCUAAAAUCAUGAAAUCUUUUCCAGGUGUGCUCUUGCUGCCUCUGGACUGGAAUGUUAAGUGCUGGUGGAGUUGUUUGGCUUAACAGUCUGAUCAAAAUGUGUCUGUGGAUGGACAAGGAACCACCGCUUGGUCACUGGGCAGUUGAGGAAAAGCUCUUCACACCCCCAGGCUCUUGGGCCUCCAGAGCACUUGAUGGAAACCACUCCUGCAACCACUCCUUCAUCGUCUUCCCACCUCGUGAGCUCUGUGAGGACACGACGCCUCUUGUUCUCCACUGUCCACAUAGCACCUGCGGUCUGGGAGGAUGAUGGUUGCCCAAAAAAGGACGCUUGAGAUGGGGUUUGGGUAGAAAAUCCAGGACAGGUUGAUUCCCAUAAGUGCAAUUCCUCAGAUCACUAAUUUUUUUUAGAAUUGUUUUCUUUUUCUUUUCUUUUUUUUCUUACGGCUGCACCCGUGGCAUAUGGAGGUUCCCAGGCUAGGGGUCAAAUGGGAGCUACAGCUGCCGGCCUAUGCCCCAGCCUCAGCAAGGCGGAAUCUGAGCCUCGUCUGCGACCUACACCAUAGCUCAUGGCAAUGCCAGAUCCCCGACCCCCUGAGUGAGGCCAGGGAUCAAACCUGCAUCCUUACGGAUGCUAGUCAGAUUCGAUUCUGCUUCGCCGCAAUAGCAACGCCCUAGAAUUCUUUUCACUUUUAAUAUGUGUUUCCUAAUUAUAGACUGAUGUAUACUCAAUACAGAUAGGAAAAUAAUACUAAAAAAUCUGAAUACCCCUAAUUGCAUAUGGGAUUGGCAUAUGCACAUUGUGCUAUGUGGAAUGACUGGCCAGUGGGGACCUGCGGUAAAGCACAGGGAACACUACCCAAUACUCUGUGAUAAUCUGUGUGGGAAAAGAACCUGAAAAAGAAUGACUGUGUGUAUAUGUAUACCUGAAUCACUUUGUCGUACAGCACAAAUUAUCGCAACAUUAUAAAUCAACUAUACUCCAAUAAAACUUUAAAAAUGAAAAGAAAAUCUGAAUACCCAUAAUUAUAUCACCAGCAAAAAACGCUAUUGACCUUUCUCAUUUUGUCUGUGUACUAUACACACAUAUAUAUGUGUGUGUAUAAUAUAUAUAAUAGGUACAUAUUAUUAUUUUUUUUUUUUUCUUUUUAGGGCCGCACCUGAGGCAUAUGGAGGUUCCCAGGCUAGGGGCCUAAUCGGAGCUGUUGCUGCCAGCCUUCACCAGGGCCACAGCAAUGCCAGAUCCAAGCUAUGCCUGCGACCUACACCACAGCUCACGGCAAUGCUGGAUCCUUAAUCCACUGAGGCCAGGGAUUGAACCCACAACCUCAUGGUUCACAGUCGGAUUCAUUUCCGCUGCGCCACAACAGAACUCCGAUAGGUACAUAUUAUAUGAUGUUCAGUAUAAAACACACAUGCAUCAUAUAUUAUAUAUGUAUAUAAUGUAGUCAGGUAAGAUCAUUAAAUAUGUAAUAUCUAGUGUAUUUAUAAAAAUGUGUGUACGGAAAAAAUUGACAGAACAUUGUAAAUCAACUAAAACAAAAAAUAAAUUAAAAAAUAAAAAUAAAAAAUGUGCGUACUGAUCUAUACAUUCGCUCCUCCAUCUCCCUCCCAUUUCCUGCUGUUAAAUAGCCUCCACUUACAGGCUCCAAAGGGGUCCCUGGGGGAUCUUUGCCAGCAUGGCACCAGGCACACACUGACUUGCUUUUUCUACAUGGCAGGAAAAAGAGGGCAGUAUUUCAGGGAAGUGGGGGGUGCUGGGCCUGUCUUGCAUCUAACCACACAGGACCCUCAAGCC
rnacentral:lncRNA from 1 species